CCUAAUGACAUUCUGACUUAUGUGGCCGGUAGUUUGUUGUUUGUAAUCCUAGUUUGGGACUUCAAUAGUGAAUCUAUAGUUGCCACAUCAGUAGAUACCCAUUGUAAAGGAACAUGUUAAUGAUUUUUGGACUUCUGAUUAUGUCAGCAGAACCCUCUUAUGGCAUGGAGACAUCCUGUAAUGCUACACAGAACAUGUCGUGUUACGGAGCUCUGGGAGGAACUGUCUAUCUCCUGCUGAUGAAUGAUGCCACAGGAUCCGAACUUACAUUAACAAAAGACCCCACUGGUGCUAAUUCAAAGAUAUUCAAAAUGAAAAAAACAACGUUACCUAUAUAUUAAUUAAAGCCAGAUCAGAGUUCUUUAUCAAUAAUGGGACAUUUAAAAUAAAUAACACAGAGAGGAGUGAUUCUGCUAAAUAUUGUUUAGAAAUCCAUAAUUCAGAAGGAAGGUACUUGGAGACCAGAGGAGUACAACUGAUAAUUGGAGGAGGAUCUUAUGGGCCUGUCAUAGGGUCACUAGUAGCUGUGGUCCUGGUCCUUGCAGUGGUGGUGGGAGUUUACUGUAUUCGCAAGAGGAGGAACCCUCCACAGGCACCAGAUGCUGAUGAGAGUCCAGAACUGGAAUGUGAUGACAGAGGGAAACAGAGGGAGGCUCCAGAGGAGGUGGUGUAUGGACAGAUUGUAGUGCUGGAGGGUGCCAAACCAAACACUGAGAGAGACAGACCUGAGGGGCAGGAGGAGACUUUGUAUGCUGGAAUACAGCUUGGCCAAUGAGAGCUGCAUGUUCGAAGGGUUGGUCUUUUUGAAGUUGUAUGGAUGCCUUGUUCCUACAUUUGUUACUGAAACGAAUUGGAUUAACUUUCCCAUAUUACUGUUAUAUUUCAUGACAUUCAAUGCUGAGGGUUUUGUACAUUCUUUACCUAAAUAAAUAACCCAACAACUGGAC
rnacentral:lncRNA from 1 species